AAUGAGCGCUGGCGGCAUGCCUAACACAUGCAAGUCGAACGAAGGCUUCGGCCUUAGUGGCGCACGGGUGCGUAACGCGUGGGAAUCUGCCCUUGGGUUCGGAAUAACAGUUAGAAAUGACUGCUAAUACCGGAUGAUGUCGUAAGACCAAAGAUUUAUCGCCCAAGGAUGAGCCCGCGUAGGAUUAGCUAGUUGGUGUGGUAAAGGCCUACCAAGGCGACGAUCCUUAGCUGGUCUGAGAGGAUGAUCAGCCACACUGGGACUGAGACACGGCCCAGACUCCUACGGGAGGCAGCAGUGGGGAAUAUUGGACAAUGGGCGAAAGCCUGAUCCAGCAAUGCCGCGUGAGUGAUGAAGGCCUUAGGGUUGUAAAGCUCUUUUACCCGGGAUGAUAAUGACAGUACCGGGAGAAUAAGCUCCGGCUAACUUCGUG
rnacentral:rRNA from 1 species